rnacentral:rRNA from 1 species
UGCCAGCAGCCGCGGUAAUACGUAGGGUGCUAGCGUUGUUCGGAAUUAUUGGGCGUAAAGAGCGUGUAGGUGGUUUAGUAAGUCAGAUGUGAAAUCCCUGGGCUCAACCGAGGAAGUGCAUCUGAAACUACUUGGCUAGAGGAUGGCAGAGGGAAGUGGAAUUCCUAGUGUAGAGGUGAAAUUCGUAGAUAUUAGGAGGAAUACCGGUGGCGAAGGCGGCUUCCUGGACCAUUCCUGACACUGAGACGCGAAAGCGUGGGUAGCAAACAGGAUUAGAUA